GUAAAUACAUAGAGGUAUAUUUAGGGAAAAGUCUUGACAUCACACGAUUUGUGCAAAUAAGGAAAGGAAAUCAAUUAAAUAGCCAGUAAAUCCUAAGAUUUGAAUUUGUUAUGGAUGAAUCCAGUCAGAAAAGGUGGAGAAGGGUUUUACUUAAAGAAAAACCAGUAACAAUCAAUUAAACCUGAAGAAAAGGAUUCUGAAUCAAUCAUAAGAUGGAAAACCUUUUUUUUCUUUCCCUCAUAAGCCUCUGCUACUUCCAUAACAUGGGCCUUUGACGUGUUCCCCCAUAUAUGUGGAUUCUUAUCUUCUUUAGUGAUGUAUGCGCAGAUCGGACCCCAGCCCUUUUUUGCCUGGAUGUCGCAUUGCAUUUGCUCGAACUCGGGAAACACUUUCCUAAUCUGGCUUCUAAAGCUAUUUUUAGGUGCCCUCUCGACCUUUCCACCGAUGUUCUAAUAUAACCUUCCGAUUCUAUGGUUCUCCCUGGCUACGAGGCCUCACACGGGUAGAGUUCGGUAUUCCUUUGUCGAUGGCUGACCC
rnacentral:lncRNA from 1 species